rnacentral:rRNA from 1 species
CAGCCGUAAACAAUGUGCGUUAGGUGUGUCGGUAACCACGUGUUACUGAUGCGCCGAAGAGAAAUCGUGAAACGCACCACCUGGGAAGUACGGUCGCAAGGCUGAAACUUAAAGGAAUUGGCGGGGGAGCACCACAACAGGUGGAGCCUGCGGUUUAAUUGGACUCAACGCCGGAAAUCUCACCGGAUAGGACAGACAUAUGAUAGUCGGGCUGAAGACUCUACUUGAUGAUCUGAGAGGAGGUGCAUGGCGUCAGUGACU